UAGGGAAUCCUCCACAAUGGGCGAAAGCCUGAUGGAGCAACGCCGCGUGUGUGAUGAAGGGUUUCGGCUCGUAAAACACUGUUGUAAGAGAAGAAUGACAUUGAGAGUAACUGUUCAAUGUGUGACGGUAUCUUACCAGAAAGGAACGGCUAAAUACGUGCCAA
rnacentral:rRNA from 1 species